rnacentral:tRNA from 1 species
GGCUGGAUGGCAGAGUGGUGAUGCUGCGGAUUGCAAAUCCGCCUACCCCGGUUCGAUUCCGGGUUCAGCCU